rnacentral:rRNA from 1 species
GAUGAACGCUAGCGGCAGGCCUAAUACAUGCAAGUCGGACGGGAUCUAGGUCUAAGCUUGCUUAGAUUUAGUGAGAGUGGCGCACGGGUGCGUAACGCGUGAGCAACCUACCCAUAUCAGGGGGAUAGCCCGGAGAAAUCCGGAUUAACACCGCAUGACACAACGACUCGGCAUCGAGAUGUUGUUAAAUAUUUAUAGGAUAUGGAUGGGCUCGCGUGACAUUAGCUAGUUGGUAAGGUAACGGCUUACCAAGGCUACGAUGUCUAGGGGCUCUGAGAGGAGAAUCCCCCACACUGGUACUGAGACACGGACCAGACUCCUACGGGAGGCAGCAGUAAGGAAUAUUGGGUCAAUGGAGGGAACUCUGAACCAGCCAUGCCGCGUGCAGGAUGACUGCCCUAUGGGUUGUAAACUGCUU